UCUGGGAAAAAGCAAAAGGCGGGCGCAAGGCUGCCUCCCAAGCUCUCAGAGCUUACAGUUCCUCCCGUUUUGCUGAGUUGGGCGACGCGACCUCCGGCACAGCCAGAUCUUCUGGAUACCUUGCUGCAGCUUCUGCAUCAGCACUUACUGCUUCACCUUGCACUUUUAUGUUAUGGAGACGGCUUCUUUCCUUAAACCUCAGGAACUAAGCUGAGGCCCAAGGAUGUGGUGCCACAGACUAUCCCACCUACAAAGCAAGCUCCAAAACCUGCUGAGGGGAGGAGUCACAUAUUGGGCUUUCCAACAGCCCAGUUUCAAAAGCUUGUUUCCAUUAGCCAUCCAGUGGCACCAUACAGCCUCCAAGUCUCUGAAUUGUUCUUGGCAGCAACAUGAAGAUCAUUUUGAACUGCAAUAUGCUAACACCGUGAUGCGCUUUGAUUAUGUCUGGCUUCGAGACCACUGCCGCUCAGCAUCAUGCUACAACUCUAAGACUCACCAGCGCAGCCUGGAUACUGCCAGUGUGGAUUUAUGCAUCAAGCCAAAAACCAUUCGUCUGGAUGAGACCACACUCUUUUUCACUUGGCCAGAUGGUCAUGUAACUAAAUAUGAUUUGGAUUGGCUGGUGAGAAACAGCUAUGAAGGGCAGAAACAAAAGGUCAUCCAACCUAGAAUCUUAUGGAAUGCUGAAAUCUAUCAGCAAGCCCAAGUUCCAUCUAUAGAUUUCCAGAGCUUCUUAGAAACCAAUGAGGGAUUGAAGAACUUUCUGCAAAACUUUCUGCUGUAUGGAAUUGCAUUUGUAGAAAAUGUCCCUCCCACUCAAGAACACACAGAGAAGUUGGCAGAAAGGAUCAGCUUGAUCAGAGAAACCAUCUAUGGGAGGAUGUGGUAUUUCACUUCAGACUUCUCCAGGGGUGACACCGCAUACACCAAGCUGGCUUUGGAUCGGCACACUGACACUACCUAUUUUCAAGAGCCCUGUGGCAUUCAAGUGUUUCACUGUCUUAAGCAUGAAGGAACAGGUGGGAGGACAUUGCUGGUAGAUGGAUUCUAUGCAGCAGAACAGGUACUUCAAAAGGCACCUGAGGAAUUUGAACUCCUCACCAAAGUGCCAUUGAAGCAUGAAUAUAUUGAAAAUGUUGGAGAAUGUCACAACCACAUGAUUGGGGUUGGGCCAGUCUUAAAUAUCUACCCAUGGAAUAAAGAGCUCUAUUUGAUCAGAUACAACAACUAUGACAGAGCUGUCAUCAAUACUGUACCUUAUGAUGUUGUCCAUCGUUGGUAUACAGCACACCGGACUCUGACAAUAGAGUUGAGGAGACCUGAGAAUGAGUUUUGGGUCAAACUAAAGCCUGGCAGGGUCCUAUUUAUAGACAACUGGCGUGUCCUACAUGGCAGGGAAUCCUUCACUGGCUACCGCCAACUCUGUGGCUGCUAUUUAACAAGGGAUGAUGUAUUAAACACUGCUCGUCUCUUGGGGCUUCAGGCUUAGAAUUGACAACAUUAGAAUUAUGAACACACCUGGCACCCUGGCUACCAGAAUUUCAUAUCAGCAAAAUAAUAUUAUGUCAAAACCUGCAUCAAACUGUCUCCUUAUCCCAUCACACAAAACAGAAGUUGCAACUAGAUCAGUUAAAAAGAAAUGCAUUUUAGGAACAAAGUCUUUAUAAGGCAGCAAUUUGUAAAAUGUUUGGUCUUAAGACACCUUAACAUUCUUAAAAGUCCUUGAGGACCCCAAAGAGUUCUUGGAUAUGGGUUAUAUCUAUUGAUACUAACUGUAAUGGAUUCUAAGACUGAGAAAUAUUUAAAAUUCAAGAACACAAAAUCACACUUCCCUCAGUAUCAGAGAGAUGACAUCAUCACAUGUCAUAUAGCCUUCGGAAAAAUCCUCUGUACAUUUACGAGGUAAUAAGAAUGAAAAAGGUAAAUAUCAUCUUAGUGUUAUGAUAAAAAAUAGUUUUUAAUCCACAGGGCCACUAAAAGUGUCUCAAGGAUCCCUCCAGGUGUCUUCAGACCACUCCUUAAGAACCAAUGGCCUGGAGGAUACCUUAAGUUAACCAGCACUGAAUUUUGUUUACCUUCCUCUACAAUGACAAACCAUUCAAGUGUGUUCAGGACUGAAGGAUUUCCUGGGCUGCAGAACUUAGUGCUAAAACUGGGAAAGUCCCACAUAAACCCUACCUUCUUGCUGCUAGCUAUGUCUUUUUCUUUAGUGUUCAUAACUGGUUCCCAUUUCUAUCCAAGUGCUUGUGAAUCACAACCUGUGUAGUACAUAAUGAAAAGAAAAAAAGAAGGGCACCAGAGUGGCUCAGUUGGUUAAGUGUCUGCCUUCAGCUCAGGUCAUGAUCUUAGGGUCUUGAGAUUGAGUCCCAUAUUGGGCUCCCUGCUCAGCCAGGAAUCUGAUUCUCCCUGUACCCUCCCAUCUUCUUCCUCUCCACUGCUCAUGCUUUCUCUCUCUCUCUCUCUCUCUCUCUCUCUCUCUCUCUCUCUCUCAUGCUGUCUCUCUCUCAAAUAAAUAAAUAAGACCUUUUUUUUAAAAAAGGAAAGGAAAAAAAGAUAUAUGAACUAUGGUGUGUUGUGGUGGUUCCCAAAGUAGACCAGCAGUAGCAGCAGCAGCAGCAGCAGCAGCAGCAGCAUUUGAACACUUGUUAGAAAUGAAAAUUCUUAGGCCCCACAACAGACUUACUAAAUCAGAAACUGUAGAGGUGGAAGCCAGCAGUUUGCGUUUCAGCAAGCCCUCUAGGAGAUUCUGGUGCCUGCCAAAAUAUGAGAACCACUGAAGGGAAGAGCCUUAUUGCUGAGUUUUAGACCCUAUUUUGAGCUACAGUUUGCUCCUCUUCAUUUUAUUUUUUUAAGAUUUUAUUUGUUUAUUUGAGAAAGAGACAGAGAUAGUGACAGAGAUAGCAAGAGAGAGCAAAAGAAAGAGAAUGCACAAGCAGGGAAGAGAGGAAGAAGAAGGCUCCACACUGACCAGGGAGCCUGACAUGGGGCUCGACACAGGGCUUGACAUGGGGCUCGAUCCCAGGACCCUGAGAUCAUGACCUGAGCCAAAGGCAGAGACUUAGCCAACUGAGCCACCUAGGCGCCCCCUCUUCUUCACUUUAAAAUGGAGGCCUUGGACUGUGCAACAUCUAAAGGCUCUGUCACUCUAUAACUUUGUUUGACCUCAUAGCUUAAGUUAUCUCAUGAAUGGAGUAAGGAAAAUACCUAUAUCACAGGUUUUUCUAGCAAAUUUGUGAUUCUUAAGUAAGAUGUUUGCAGCUCAUAAUAAUGACCAAUAACAACAGCUAACUCUUUCAUAGUGCUUUCUAUGUGCCAUUGUUAUGACUGCUUUUAAUCACCACAGCAACCAUACCCUUAUUUUAUGAAUGAAGAAAUAAAGGCAAUGAGAGAUUAAGCAGUUUAGCCAAGGUCACAUGGCUAAAUAAGUGUCAGACUUUGGAUUAGAAUUUCAAACACCUGGCCACAGAGACAGUGCUUUUCAUUAAUAUGCUAUAGUCCAAAAUAAAUGUUAAUUCCUUCCCCAUUGUCCUUAUUCCAACAAUAUUUACAGUCUAGCUGACCAUUCAGAUGGUAAUCAUCAUCUGCACUAUUAAGUUCCUGCCAAUAAAUUCUUAAGAGUACCAUGAGACGAUCCAGAUGUUUUGCAAAUAGUUUGUAAAUAUCCACCAAACCCCCCUACGUUUUUUUAAAGUGUUUUUCACUAAUUUUUCUUCUUCCAAAGGUAGAAGAUGAUAGAAAGACAUCAAUCCAUUCAGCAUUUUUCCUUCUUUCCACACUCUUCUGGAAUAUGUCAG